UACGUAGGGGGCAAGCGUUGUCCGGAAUCAUUGGGCGUAAAGCGCGUGUAGGCGGCUUGGUAAGUCCGCUCUGAAAGCCCGGGGCUCAACCCCCGGGAGGCGGGUGGAUACUGUCAAGCUCGAGUCCGGAAGAGGCGAGUGGAAUUCCCGGUGUAGCGGUGAAAUGCGCAGAUAUCGGGAGGAACACCAAUGGCGAAGGCAGCUCGCUGGGACGUGACUGACGCUGAGACGCGAAAGCGUGGGGAGCAAACAGGG
rnacentral:rRNA from 1 species